GACGAACGCUGGCGGCGUGCUUAACACAUGCAAGUCGAACGGAAAGGCCCUGCUUUGGUGGGGUGCUCGAGUGGCGAACGGGUGAGUAACACGUGAGUAACCUGCCCUUGACUUUGGGAUAACUUCAGGAAACUGGGGCUAAUACCGGAUAGCAGCUGCUGCUGCAUGGUGGGGGUUGGAAAGGGUCGGCGGUUGGGGAUGGACUUGCGGCUUAUCAGCUUGUUGGUGGGGUAGUGGCUUACCAAGGCUUGGACGGGUAGCCGGCCUGAGAGGGUGACCGGCCACAUUGGGACUGAGAUACGGCCCAGACUCCUACGGGAGGCAGCAGUGGGGAAUAUUGCACAAUGGGCGGAAGCCUGAUGCAGCAACGCCGCGUGCGGGAUGACGGCCUUCGGGUUGUAAACCGCUUUCGCCUGUGACGAAGCGUGAGUGACGGUAAUGGGUAAAGAAGCACCGGCUAACUACGUG
rnacentral:rRNA from 1 species